GGGCGGUUGGCGCAGUGGUAGCGCGCUUCCCUGACACGGAAGAGGUCGCUGGUUCAAACCCAGUACCGCCCACCA
rnacentral:tRNA from 4 species